GACUCCUACGGGAGGCAGCAGUGGGGAAUAUUGCACAAUGGGGGAAACCCUGAUGCAGCCAUGCCGCGUGUGUGAAGAAGGCCUUCGGGUUGUAAAGCACUUUCAGUUGUGAGGAAAAGUUAGUAGUUAAUACCUGCUAGCCGUGACGUUAACAACAGAAGAAGCACCGGCUAACUCCGUGCCAGCAGCCGCGGUAAU
rnacentral:rRNA from 1 species